UGGUGCGUAGCUCAAUGGUCAGAGCACUCUGUUGAUAACGGAGAGGUUGCUGGUUCGAAUCCAGCCGUACCAA
rnacentral:tRNA from 1 species